rnacentral:lncRNA from 10 species
UGCAAAGGAUCCAGUGGAGGUCUCUGAGGCCCUGGGAGAUGGUAGAGCCACACCAUGAAGGUGCCUGGGUCCCUGAAUGACUGCAUGGAGCUCACUCUACAUUGGACUGUGACACAAGCAAGAAAGGCCCCAGGCUCCAGAAGCAGACGAAGAUGAACAGAAGAGCAGAAGCACAGCAGAACGGCAUGGCAGAGAGAAGAGAAUGAGCAUCUGAAUGCUGAGAGGAGUUUGGCUGGGAAUGGUCAGAGAGAUUGGCUGCUGGACAGCCAAACUGGUAGACACUUAGGAGUGGAAUUGCUGAGUCAUACAGUAAUUCUAUGUUUAACAUUUUGAGGAGCUGCCAAACUGUUUCCAAAAUGGCUGCAACAUUCUAUAUUUCCAUCAGCAAGGAGGGCCCAUGUGGCAAGGAACUAAGGGCAGUCUCUGGCCAAAAGCCCACAAGUAACUGAAUUCUGCCAAUAACCAUGAGUUUGGAAGUGGAUCCUUCCCCAUUCGAGUCUCAGAUGAGUCCCCAGCCCUGGCCAACAUCUUCAUGUGCUGUGAGAGACCAUUAAGCAGAGGACCCAGCUAAGCUCUGCCCAGAUGCUCAAUCCACAGAAAAAGAUACUAAGUGUGUGUUGUUUUAAGCUGCUACAUUUGCAGUGGUUUGAUAUGCAGCAAUAGAUAACUGAUACUGCUGUUAAUUGCUUUCUAUUACAAUCAGCUGGAAUAACUGCCCUUGUGCCUACAAUCAGAGAUGUAUUUUGGGAUCAAUUCCCAGACCUGAGAUUGUUCAGUCUAAGGGUAAGGAUAUUUAAUGUGGAAAAAUAACACUAAAUUGUCCUCCAAAAAUAUUAUCAAGUGACAAUCAUGCAAACAGUAUGAAAGUUCCUACUUCUCUCCAUGUUCUUGCCAAAUGAAGUGUCAUUGAUCAUUGAAAAAAUAUCAGUUUGAGAAAAAUCAGUACUGCAUUGCUUUGAUUGCAUUUUCCUGAUCACUUAUCAGGGUGAGCAUCUUUUUAACGAAUCCCUUGGCCAUUUAUUUUCCUCUUUCUUUUGAGACUUCUCUCUUGAUAUUUUUAGCUUUUAUCCUAUUUUAAUUGGAUUUCAAUUGGAUUGAACAACUAGAAUGAUAGAAUGAUAUCUGGGGGGCACACAAUGGCCAUUGGUGAUGCUGCUGUUGAUUACCCAAAGUGCUAUCCCAUUUCUUCCUGUGUAUUUACUACUAUUUCUCUUGCAGUUAAUAAGCAAUUUAUGGGAAGAUUCUUUGAGACCAUUCAAAUAUCCUGCACCUCAUUAAAAUAUCCCCCUGGAUUUAGCAGCCUUUGAUGAUUCUUGCCUGAACAAAACUUUAUUAUGGUAGAUGUAAAAUGAAGAUUUUCAUUUCUAGCACUUCUUCCACAUUUACCAGCUACAUUCAGCCUUCUUGUGGAUAAGACUCUCCCCUUUCUCCCAAAUGUUUAUUGUUUUUAUUAGUAUGGACUCACGAUUUCCUGUUCUUCUCAAUGGCCUAUAAUUUAUUACUAUCUUUAAUUAUAUUAGUGCUCAAAUUUUCCCAGUUUGGCCAGUGGGAUCCCCUCCAAGUUGGCUAUUAUUUCCUUGUGACAUACCCACUUUUUCUUUCUUUCUCUUUCUUUUUCUUUCCUUUUAAAACUCACUUCUUUACUUCCUGCUCCAGCCCUGGAAUCAGCCAUUUCUCUGAAAAACUGUGGUUCUUUCAAGUGGACAAAGGUAUUAGAGACCAAAAUUUGGGCACAAGAUAUGCACUUUAACAAGGACCCACUUUAAGUGCAGUUUAGUGAAUUUGAAUGAAUGCAUGAACUUCUGUAACUACUACCACAAUCAAGAUAUAGAGUUUCUGUCACCUCUCAAAGCCUCCUUUUCUUGCUUGCUCAUA